UAUAGCUCAAGUAGCUACGCUGCCAUCCACGUCACUGCUUAUGAACGGCCGUCUACAUAAGAACUCGCCGCCUCCGACCUUUCCGCACACCACUGCACCGCACACCACCUGCUCGAUCAAAUUACCCAGCGCCCGAACAACGCCGCUAGCCUCCGGCCGCCUCCGCCCCCGCCGAUGAGCUUUCUCGCCGGGCGCCUCGCCGCCCAGGAGGGCGCCUACUUCCUGCAGGAGUCCAAGCUCGCCGCCGGGCGCCUCGCGGCGAAGCUCCCCGCGUCCGCGCGUGGGCCCAGGCCGGCGUCCCCGCCUCCGUCGCCCGACGUGCUCCCGGAGAUCCUCCGCCACUCCGUGCCCAUCAGGCCGACGCCGCCUCCUGCCGACCCCACCCUCUACGGCUCCACCCGCUGGGCCCUCCCACAGGGCGGCGCCGAGGCCGCUGGGGUGUCCCCCGACGUGCUCAACCCGCUUCGCUCGUACGUCGCCCUGCCGCAGGCCACCUUCGGCCCCAAAAGAUGGGAACUUCCAACUGAGCAGCCUUACUACUCAGCGGCAACUGCCAAUGAGCGGCGGCGUGAUAUGCACCCUCCUCCCAUGGAUCCUGAGAAGUUGAAGGCUGUAAUUGCUGGAUACUCACAGGUUGGAAAGGCAUUUCUUGCUGGCACUAUAUUGGUGUUUGGAGGAGCAACAGCUGUGUUGUUGUAUACGGCGAAUAAACUACAGUUGCAUUCAGUAGACGACGUCAGAGCUAAAGGAAAAGACGCAGUGCAACCACAUGCCGAUAUGAUCAAAGAACAGAUAGCUCCACUAAGGAAAUGGGCUGAAGGCACAUCCCGAAAAUGGCAUUACGAAGGCGACAGAGAGUCCGGGGAGAAGUCUGUCCUUGUUAGAGAGCUUUCAAGGGCACUUGGUUCUAAGACGCGUCCUCCGAAUUGAUCAAUACUACUGGCGAGUGGCUGUUGUCGUUGUUGUUGUAACCUGUAAGUCCACCAUUAUGAAGCUUUCGCUUGUUUUACGUGUCUGCCUUGUCUAUAUGUGUAAGGCUACAAGGAACGAAAUCAAUGUACAUAUGUUACCCCUAUGUUAAAUAAAGCAGGGUUUGCCACUCUAGUGGGGAGGCAAUAGCUGGUAUGUCGGGGCUUGUGUUUAUCUGGAGCCAUUAUCUAGUGCUGACGGCCAAUUUGCCACUCUAGUGAAGAGAAGCUGUACAGGACGUAUCUAUCUCCAACAGAUUCCGGAAGCC
rnacentral:rRNA from 1 species